CGGGGUGUGGCCGCGCAAGCUAACAUGCCUUCUGUUUUGUAGUGACGCAAGUAAUGAAGCGGUGGAAAUAGCUACGAGACACUUGCAUGAAAAAAAGACGCAAAGAAGUGACUACAACGAAAAGUGGCGCCCGCGCGGACAGUGUAGUCAGUGUGCGGUGGCCCCAUUAGAACCAAUUGCUGUUUCUCCUUGACAGACUGGAAUAUUCCAAGGCGAGCGGGAACCUCGCGGAUAUUCAAGACACAGACUCAUUCGACGAAACAAGCACCGCAUAUCUCCAGAUUGAAAGAACUAGCAUCGUAGACAUUGAAGCCAAUCUGGGUGCUACCAACUUUCCCACAACCCUUACACAGGAAGAUGGGAGUGGAUCUUCCAGCCCCACAUCAGUGCCAUCACCAGCCAGCAGCGCAUCAUCUG